rnacentral:rRNA from 1 species
CGUGGGUAACCUGCCCAAGAGAUCGGGAUAACACCUGGAAACAGAUGCUAAUACCGGAUAACAACAGAUGAUGCCUAUCAACUGUUUAAAAGAUGGUUCUGCUAUCACUCUUGGAUGGACCUGCGGUGCAUUAGCUAGUUGGUAGGGUAACGGCCUACCAAGGCGAUGAUGCAUAGCCGAGUUGAGANACUGAUCGGCCACAUUGGGACUGAGACACGGCCCAAACUCCUACGGGAGGCAGCAGUU